rnacentral:rRNA from 1 species
CCCUUAGAUGUCCUGGGCCGCACGCGCGCUACACUGAGUGUCUGAGAUACGAGUCUGCCUGGUCCGGCAAGGUCUAGGUAAUCGCUAAAAGACACAUCAUGCUUGGGAUAGAUUAUUGCAAAUAUUAAUCUUGAACGAGGAAUUCCUAGUAAGCGCAAGUCAACAGCUUGCGUUGAUUACGUCCCUGCCCUUUGUACACACCGCCCGUCGCUACUACUGAUUGGAUGUUUAAGCGAGGUUCUCGAACUGCUAGAGACUUAGCUUCGGUGAGGUCGCAGUGUGGGAAGUGAACCUAGCUUUGGUGUCUAGAGGAAGUAAAAGUCGUAACA